rnacentral:lncRNA from 1 species
UUUUCAGAAUCUUCAUCGUCUCUUUUUCGUUCUUGACAAAUCUAAAUCUCAAUUUUGUAAAUUGUAAACUCUUUUCAAUUCGAUCUAAAAGUUUUCGUCUAUCCAAUCAUACAAAAACCAAUUUUUCUCUUGGGUCACAUGCAUAAUAAAAUAUUCGUUUUCGAUGUGGUUACCGUGAACUCGUCUCAUAUACCAUCCACCGCCGC